rnacentral:rRNA from 1 species
AUGUCGUCCACAAUUUCUUUUAAGUCUGUCGGUGUUGACGUCGGUGAGGACGCCGAUUAUGUUCUGGACGGCGACCCUCAUAAGCUGGUUGUGUCUGCCAUUGCAGGUGUAAAGGGGAGGAGUAAGAGGGUGGUGGCACCUACCACGAAGUGGGACUGUUGUGGUUCAAGUGGUAUUAAUUUAUUUUGUUCCGUCAAUUUUGGCCCACAUAUUACUACUUCCUUGCAUUUUGUGGGUACCUUAGAGAUCGUUCCUUGUUAUGUUGAGGUUGUGUGUAGAGAUGAUCAGACAAGUUACUUCAUCGGACAUUUAUAUUUUUUAUUUGAGAAUUGA